rnacentral:rRNA from 1 species
GAUGAACGCUGGCGGCGUGCCUAAUACAUGCAAGUCGAGCGAACAGACGAGGAGCUUGCUCCUCUGACGUUAGCGGCGGACGGGUGAGUAACACGUGGAUAACCUACCUAUAAGACUGGGAUAACUUCGGGAAACCGGAGCUAAUACCGGAUAAUAUAUUGAACCGCAUGGUUCAAUAGUGAAAGACGGUUUUGCUGUCACUUAUAGAUGGAUCCGCGCUGCAUUAGCUAGUUGGUAAGGUAACGGCUUACCAAGGCAACGAUGCGUAGCCGACCUGAGAGGGUGAUCGGCCACACUGGAACUGAGACACGGUCCAGACUCCUACGGGAGGCAGCAGUAGGGAAUCUUCCGCAAUGGGCGAAAGCUUGACGGAGCAACGCCGCGUGAGUGAUGAAGGUCUUCGGAUCGUAAAACUCUGUUAUUAGGGAAGAACAAAUGUGUAAGUAACUGUGCACGUCUUGACGGUACCUAAUCAGAAAGCCACGGCUAACUACGUG